rnacentral:rRNA from 1 species
AUUGAACGCUGGCGGCAGGCCUAACACAUGCAAGUCGAGCGGAGCGGCGGACGGGUGAGUAAUGCCUAGGAAUCUGCCUGGUAGUGGGGGAUAACGUCCGGAAACGGGCGCUAAUACCGCAUACUAUCAGAUGAGCCUAGGUCGGAUUAGCUAGUUGGUGGGGUAAAGGCCUACCAAGGCGACGAUCCGUAACUGGUCUGAGAGGAUGAUCAGUCACAGUGGUACUGAUACACGGACCAGACUCCUACGGGGUGCAGCAGUGGGUAAUAUUGGCCAAUGGGCGAAAUCCUGCUCCAGCCAUUCCGCGUGUGUGAAGAAGUUCUUCGGAUUGUAAAGCACUUUAAGUUGGGAGGCGUUACCAACAGAAUAAGCACCGGCUAACUUCGUGCCAGUCGCCGCGGUAAUAC